rnacentral:rRNA from 1 species
GGGUUGUGAGGUUAAGCGACUAAGCGUACACGGUGGAUGCCCUGGCAGUCAGAGGCGAUGAAGGACGUGCUAAUCUGCGAUAAGCGUCGGUAAGGUGAUAUGAACCGUUAUAACCGGCGAUUUCCGAAUGGGGAAACCCAGUGUGUUUCGACACACUAUCAUUAACUGAAUCCAUAGGUUAAUGAGGCGAACCGGGGGAACUGAAACAUCUAAGUACCCCGAGGAAAAGAAAUCAACCGAGAUUCCCCCAGUAGCGGCGAGCGAACGGGGAGCAGCCCAGAGCCUGAAUCAGUAUGUGUGUUAGUGGAAGCGUCUGGAAAGGCGCGCGAUACAGGGUGACAGCCCCGUACACAAAAAUGCACAUAUUGUGAGCUCGAUGAGUAGGGCGGGACACGUGGUAUCCUGUCUGAAUAUGGGGGGACCAUCCUCCAAGGCUAAAUACUCCUGACUGACCGAUAGUGAACCAGUACCGUGAGGGAAAGGCGAAAAGAACCCCGGCGAGGGGAGUGAAAAAGAACCUGAAACCGUGUACGUACAAGCAGUGGGAGCACGCUUAGGCGUGUGACUGCGUACCUUUUGUAUAAUGGGUCAGCGACUUAUAUUCUGUAGCAAGGUUAACCGAAUAGGGGAGCCGAAGGGAAACCGAGUCUUAACUGGGCGUUAAGUUGCAGGGUAUAGACCCGAAACCCGGUGAUCUAGCCAUGGGCAGGUUGAAGGUUGGGUAACACUAACUGGAGGACCGAACCGACUAAUGUUGAAAAAUUAGCGGAUGACUUGUGGCUGGGGGUGAAAGGCCAAUCAAACCGGGAGAUAGCUGGUUCUCCCCGAAAGCUAUUUAGGUAGCGCCUCGUGAAUUCAUCUCCGGGGGUAGAGCACUGUUUCGGCAAGGGGGUCAUCCCGACUUACCAACCCGAUGCAAACUGCGAAUACCGGAGAAUGUUAUCACGGGAGACACACGGCGGGUGCUAACGUCCGUCGUGAAGAGGGAAACAACCCAGACCGCCAGCUAAGGUCCCAAAGUCAUGGUUAAGUGGGAAACGAUGUGGGAAGGCCCAGACAGCCAGGAUGUUGGCUUAGAAGCAGCCAUCAUUUAAAGAAAGCGUAAUAGCUCACUGGUCGAGUCGGCCUGCGCGGAAGAUGUAACGGGGCUAAACCAUGCACCGAAGCUGCGGCAGCGACGCUUAUGCGUUGUUGGGUAGGGGAGCGUUCUGUAAGCCUGCGAAGGUGUGCUGUGAGGCAUGCUGGAGGUAUCAGAAGUGCGAAUGCUGACAUAAGUAACGAUAAAGCGGGUGAAAAGCCCGCUCGCCGGAAGACCAAGGGUUCCUGUCCAACGUUAAUCGGGGCAGGGUGAGUCGACCCCUAAGGCGAGGCCGAAAGGCGUAGUCGAUGGGAAACAGGUUAAUAUUCCUGUACUUGGUGUUACUGCGAAGGGGGGACGGAGAAGGCUAUGUUGGCCGGGCGACGGUUGUCCCGGUUUAAGCGUGUAGGCUGGUUUUCCAGGCAAAUCCGGAAAAUCAAGGCUGAGGCGUGAUGACGAGGCACUACGGUGCUGAAGCAACAAAUGCCCUGCUUCCAGGAAAAGCCUCUAAGCAUCAGGUAACAUCAAAUCGUACCCCAAACCGACACAGGUGGUCAGGUAGAGAAUACCAAGGCGCUUGAGAGAACUCGGGUGAAGGAACUAGGCAAAAUGGUGCCGUAACUUCGGGAGAAGGCACGCUGAUAUGUAGGUGAAGUCCCUCGCGGAUGGAGCUGAAAUCAGUCGAAGAUACCAGCUGGCUGCAACUGUUUAUUAAAAACACAGCACUGUGCAAACACGAAAGUGGACGUAUACGGUGUGACGCCUGCCCGGUGCCGGAAGGUUAAUUGAUGGGGUUAGCCGCAAGGCGAAGCUCUUGAUCGAAGCCCCGGUAAACGGCGGCCGUAACUAUAACGGUCCUAAGGUAGCGAAAUUCCUUGUCGGGUAAGUUCCGACCUGCACGAAUGGCGUAAUGAUGGCCAGGCUGUCUCCACCCGAGACUCAGUGAAAUUGAACUCGCUGUGAAGAUGCAGUGUACCCGCGGCAAGACGGAAAGACCCCGUGAACCUUUACUAUAGCUUGACACUGAACAUUGAGCCUUGAUGUGUAGGAUAGGUGGGAGGCUUAGAAGUGUGGACGCCAGUCUGCAUGGAGCCGACCUUGAAAUACCACCCUUUAAUGUUUGAUGUUCUAACGUUGACCCGUAAUCCGGGUUGCGGACAGUGUCUGGUGGGUAGUUUGACUGGGGCGGUCUCCUCCUAAAGAGUAACGGAGGAGCACGAAGGUUGGCUAAUCCUGGUCGGACAUCAGGAGGUUAGUGCAAUGGCAUAAGCCAGCUUGACUGCGAGCGUGACGGCGCGAGCAGGUGCGAAAGCAGGUCAUAGUGAUCCGGUGGUUCUGAAUGGAAGGGCCAUCGCUCAACGGAUAAAAGGUACUCCGGGGAUAACAGGCUGAUACCGCCCAAGAGUUCAUAUCGACGGCGGUGUUUGGCACCUCGAUGUCGGCUCAUCACAUCCUGGGGCUGAAGUAGGUCCCAAGGGUAUGGCUGUUCGCCAUUUAAAGUGGUACGCGAGCUGGGUUUAGAACGUCGUGAGACAGUUCGGUCCCUAUCUGCCGUGGGCGCUGGAGAACUGAGGGGGGCUGCUCCUAGUACGAGAGGACCGGAGUGGACGCAUCACUGGUGUUCGGGUUGUCAUGCCAAUGGCACUGCCCGGUAGCUAAAUGCGGAAGAGAUAAGUGCUGAAAGCAUCUAAGCACGAAACUUGCCCCGAGAUGAGUUCUCCCUGACUCCUUGAGAGUCCUGAAGGAACGUUGAAGACGACGACGUUGAUAGGCCGGGUGUGUAAGCGCAGCGAUGCGUUGAGCUAACCGGUACUAAUGAACCGUGAGGCUUAACCUUACAACGCCGAAGGUGUUU